AGGAACAGCCAGACCGUCCUGCGAGUGCCCAAUCCUGUCAGACCUUGGAAGCUAAGCAGGGCCAGGUUUUGUUGGUAUUUCGAUAGGAGACCAUCUUGGAAAACCAAGGGCGGCUCCAC
rnacentral:rRNA from 12 species